CCGCAUAGGGAAACAUGCACCAAAUGAAGCAGUGUACAUUCGUUCAUAUGGGAAUCUAAAAGUUAAAAAUUACUCAUUUUUUGCAAUCAUAAAUAUCGAUUGAUAGCUUCCGAUAGUCUAUCAGAAUCAAUCGAAACUAUCAGCUAAAGCGUUCAGUGUAGUGGCCUUUGGAGCGGGUGCCGUUGCGAUUGGAUGCUGGCUAGGGUGGAAAGCUUAUGCCAAACUGAGUGCAAAAAUCGUGCAAGUCAAUGGAAGCAAUCCAGCGGCAGUGGGUGAGGUUAACAUUGUGCCUCCAGAAGAUGACGAGAGAGUGACGCGCGUUCCGGAAGCUGCAGGAGUUGGACGAUUUGGAUCAGGGGCCGAAACUGCGCACCAUCGUUGGGCGCUGUGCAAGAUCCUUGUGCAGCGGACUCAAUCUUCGAUCCCUUUGGUGUCAUUGUUGACGUGGAUACUUCAUCAUUUGUGGACCAAAUGUGCGAUUGCGUCAAAGAGGGCGCUUCAAAAGGUUGAGUUACCUGAACCAGCGUGUGAUGAACAGCACGUGUGUGUCGUUGAGGUUCUUCCUGUUCAAGACGAGAUGUUGGUUGAUGGAACUGCUGUUGAAGUUGCAGUUGAUCCCUGUUCGUGGUGGUCGGUAUAGGAAGCUGAACAACAGGUAGUCUUCACCUCCACGGCAAUCUUCAGCUACCUUUACGGGGUGAUGUUAUCCUUAAAUGAGUCAACCAGUUUUGAAAGUUCAGCAGCCACACUAAUUUCCUUUUCGUACUACUCGCUAAACUAUUUGAAGCAUUUUCAAGCAAUAAGCUCAUUUUAUACAAUGGUACUUUGCAUCCCCAUUGCAAAGGCUGCCUCUCUGCACCACAAUAGUAUAAUCGUAUAUUCUUUAGGAUGUAUGAACAUAACAUCAAAGAAUGCUUUAUAUCAUUGACGGAACAACUCACUUGAUGGAUGCGUACACGUUUCCGUAUGUUGUGUAUUGUUGUUACAUCCUUACUGACAACUAACGACGGGGAUUCUUUUGUUCCGACACCAGCAGCAGUGUGGGCGCAAAAACGGUUGUUCCCCAAAGUUCAAGAGUCGUCAGUACAAUUGUGUCUCACAAUUCAACGUGUUAAUGUGCGUAAAAAAAUUUCGCGGAUCGCAAUUAUCACACGCUGUGCCGAAUCGAGAUCAUUUGUCGAGUGUAAUACAUCAUAAAGGUCGACAAAUGUAAUUAAGGUCACACGCACAAUUCAUCAAGGUUUUUUCUUCUGAUAUAUUCUUGGCUGCCGUAGGUUCAGCGGAAGAAAUGUAACUUGUUUUUCUCAUCACCCUUUAUUGGGGCAUCUUAAAAGACAAUCUACCAUUUCGAUUAUCGUUGUCGUUUCUUUCCGUCUAAUGACUCCGAUGGCCGUCAUAGACGAUAGCUUACUUCGAUAACGCAGUGAGAAAACAAAAUAAUCGAGUUUGUGUUCCCUUGUAUUUUCUAGAUGGUUUUGAAAACUAAAAAAAAAAAGUGUUGAAACCGAAAGACAGAAAAGAUUGACAACAGGUAAUUGACCGCUCUGCGUCAAAAGAUCCAGUAUACCGUACAACGUACAAGUUCGAGGUCGUUGUCCUCUUCCAGCUGUCGUGGGGAUGAUUGACGAUUUGCCUACUAAGGGUUACUGACCUAGCCCGGUUGUUUUUUUUAAAUCCAUCUUGUCGUAAAAUCAAAUAGUUUUUGUAAAUUGGAACGCCCCUGGCGAAAAGAAGGACUUCAUGACGAAAAACCACAGCUAUUCACAUUCAAUCAAACGGUAAAUAUAUAUAAAUACAAAGAGCGAAUCUUAAUUGUCCUCUUCUUGGUCUUAAUGCAGCUUUCCAUCCGGAAACCUGCUCUAGAUGUAGGUAGUUGGGGGGGAUGAGUCCAACGGGAAAGCGAGCUUAUUCAAGUUUUUGAGAUCCCUGAUAACAUAAUACAUACAAGGUGUUGAAUAAUGGCGUAAUGGUCGUUAACAUCCUGAAACCUCUUUGUUAUGGGGAAACAUAGAUCCCCGCCACAGGCUGCAUACGAUAAAGACUGCUUGGAUGUACAGAAAUGAUGUGUGCAUCAUACGGAAAAUAAUUACGGCUGUAUAAAGCAAACUUAGAACAAGCUGUAUCAAAGACGUUUUUAUUUUACAACAGCACGUUCCAAAAGUUGUUAAAUAUCAAAUUACUUUUCGUCUUCAGGUGCAUCUUUCCAUAAAUAAAUGCUGUUUUGAGCUGCAGUUAGGAUCCAAGCCUGAGAUGGGUGAGGGAGAUACUGAAUGGACAACUUUCGAACCAACGUGUUCCAGUCUUGCUAUGAGUUGGCCUUCUACUAAGGACCAGAUAUAAACGGUACCGUCUUCUGAACCCGAGAUAACGUGGUUAUCGGUAUGAUCAAGACAGCAAUCGAUUUUGUAUUCCGUGUUGAUGUGUCCAGUGUACCUGAUGAAAUAAUACAUCAAUAACUUAAAUUCGAAAA